CUUAUCACAGGACAGAUCCUGAAAGGUGCCACAGGGAAACAGCUUCAACAGGAGAGACCGAGGGAGCCCUACCUCAGAAUAUCUCAGAGCUCAGUGGUUAGAGCACAUUCCUGAAAGGGAUAAUUAUAGAAAAUGUGGAGUAAACUCCAGUGGUAGACAACGUUUUUCAACAUUACAUUGUUUUCUUGGACUAAGAGGUGGGAGG